rnacentral:rRNA from 1 species
UACGUAGGGGGCAAGCGUUGUCCGGAUUUAUUGGGCGUAAAGAGCGUGUAGGCGGCCAGACAGGUCCGUUGUGAAAACUCGAGGCUCAACCUCGAGACGUCGAUGGAAACCGUCUGGCUAGAGUCCGGAAGAGGAGAGUGGAAUUCCUGGUGUAGCGGUGAAAUGCGCAGAUAUCAGGAAGAACACCUAUAGCGAAGGCAGCUCUCUGGGACGGUACUGACGCUGAGACGCGAAAGCGUGGGGAGCGAACAGG